AUGGGUGGUGGCCCUAAGCGAGGGAUAGAUGUGGCGGACUAUGCUCUAAUUGAAUAUGACAUGAGGAUUAAGAGAGGCAGACAAGAAAGAGAUGACCUACAACUGAUCGAUGGAGCAAUAUCCUUAGGCCCCCGCGGGACAUGGAAUCGGCCGUUCACAUAUAACAUCUCUAACGAUUGUGGCGACGCAGUUGACAUAACUUUAGCUCGUCUUUCUUGCGCGGUCGAGGCGACCGUAGAGGUUCUCAUAUCGGAAGUGCAGAACGGUUUCCAUAUGUCUCUCAGAUGUUUUACCAGUGGGUUUGAUACGGAGAUCCGGCUCUUUGAUGGCACUGUUGUCAAGUCUUGCGGCUUGAAGAGUUUUUUCUCCUUUGUUUUCUCUGUUUUCUCCCUGGUUUUCUCUGUCCCGCUUGUAGUUUGCACCCCCUGUUCCUUCUAUAAUGCUAAAGCAGAGCUCCGGCUGGUUCGGGUAAAAAAGAAGACUCCUGUUGAGGAGUGA
rnacentral:rRNA from 1 species